ACUAAGUCUAAUAGAAACUUAAAUAAAUUUAAAGUAAAUCUUAAUAAUUCUAAUCAAACUUUGACUAAUUCAAAAUAAAUUUUUAGUAAAUCUUAAUAAUCCUAAUCAAACUUUGACUAAUUCAAAAUAAAUUUAAAACAAGUUGUAAAAAAAUACAAAGAAGUCCUAAACUAAUCUUAAAAAAAAUAUCAAGAAAUAUUCAAAAAAUAAUAUUAUUAUUAAAAAAAUAUUUGAAAUAGAAAAUUAAAAAAAAAAUCCUUAAAACAUACUAAAAAUAAAAAAUUUAUAUAAAUUAUAAUUAAAUUCUAAUUUAAUCUCAAUUAAAAUCUUAAUGAAUUUUAAUCAAAUUUUAGGUUAAAUUAUAAUUAAAAUCUUAAUUAAAGCUUAAUCAAAUCUUAUAUCAAAUUCUAAUAAAAAUCCUAAUUAAAUAUUAAGCAAAUCCUAAGUCAAACCUUAAUUGAAAUCCUAAUGAAAUCUUUAAUUCUAGAUAAAUAUUAAACCAAAUCCUAAGUAAAUUCUAAUCAAAUUCUAAAUCUUAAACAAACUAUUAACAAAUCUUAUAGCAGAUUGAAAUCUUAACAAUUAAUAAAUCAACCAUUGAUAUCAAUUCGAAUUUUUUAUAUUUUUAAAUAACUUAG
rnacentral:lncRNA from 1 species